GAUGAACGCUGGCGGCGUGCUUAACACAUGCAAGUCGAACGAGAAGUGAAGACGGAAACCUUCGGGCGGAAGACUUUAUUUCGAGUGGCGGACGGGUGAGUAACGCGUGGGUAACCUGCCUCAUACAGGGGGAUAACAGUUGGAAACGACUGUUAAUACCGCAUAAGACCACAGCACCGCAUGGUGCGGGGGUAAAAACUCCGGUGGUAUGAGAUGGACCCGCGUUCGAUUAGCCAGUUGGCGGGGUAACGGCCCACCAAAGCGACGAUCGAUAGCCGAUCUGAGAGGAUGACCGGCCACAUUGGGACUGAGACACGGCCCAAACUCCUACGGGAGGCAGCAGUGGGGAAUAUUGCACAAUGGGGGAAACCCUGAUGCAGCGACGCCGCGUGAGUGAAGAAGUAUUUCGGUAUGUAAAGCUCUAUCAGCAGGGAAGAAAAUGACGGUACCUGAGUAAGAAGCCCGG
rnacentral:rRNA from 1 species